rnacentral:rRNA from 1 species
UGGAAUACAGCGGCACAGUGGUGAUACCCCCGUACACGGUGCGGACGCCCAGCGCUUUGUGAUACACUUUCAAAGAGUCGAGUUGUUUGGGAAUGCAGCUCAAAUUGGGUGGUAAAUUCCAUCUAAAGCUAAAUAUUGGCGAGAGACCGAUAGCGAACAAGUACCGUGAGGGAAAGAUGAAAAGCACUUUGGAAAGAGAGUUAACAGUACGUGAAAUUGUUGGAAGGGAAACGCUUGAAGUCAGACUUGCUUGCCGGAGCUUGCUUCGGUUUGCAGGCCAGCAUCAGUUUUUCGGGGUGGAUAAUGGCGGUUUGAAGGUAGCAGUCUCGUGCUGUGUUAUAGCUUUCCGCUGGAUACACCCUGGGGGACUGAGGAACGCAGCGUGCUUUUAGCGAAGGUUUCGACCUUUUCACGCUUAGGAUGCUGGUGGAAUGGCUUUAAACGA